rnacentral:rRNA from 1 species
AUUGAACGCUGGCGGCAUGCCUUACACAUGCAAGUCGAACGGCAGCACGGGUGCUUGCACCUGGUGGCGAGUGGCGAACGGGUGAGUAAUACAUCGGAACAUGUCCUGUAGUGGGGGAUAGCCCGGCGAAAGCCGGAUUAAUACCGCAUACGAUCUACGGAUGAAAGCGGGGGACCUUCGGGCCUCGCGCUAUAGGGUUGGCCGAUGGCUGAUUAGCUAGUUGGUGGGGUAAAGGCCUACCAAGGCGACGAUCAGUAGCUGGUCUGAGAGGACGACCAGCCACACUGGGACUGAGACACGGCCCAGACUCCUACGGGAGGCAGCAGUGGGGAAUUUUAGACAAUGGGCGAAAGCCUGAUCCAGCAAUGCCGCGUGUGUGAAGAAGGCCUUCGGGUUGUAAAGCACUUUUGUCCGGAAAGAAAUCCUUGGCCCUAAUACGGUCGGGGGAUGACGGUACCGGAAGAAUAAGCACCGGCUAACUACGUG